AUUGAACGCUGGCGGCAGGCUUAACACAUGCAAGUCGAGCGGGGUGAUGGUGCUUGCACUAUCACUUAGCGGCGGACGGGUGAGUAAUGCUUAGGAAUCUGCCUAUUAGUGGGGGACAACAUCUCGAAAGGGAUGCUAAUACCGCAUACGUCCUACGGGAGAAAGCAGGGGAUCACUUGUGACCUUGCGCUAAUAGAUGAGCCUAAGUCGGAUUAGCUAGUUGGUGGGGUAAAGGCCUACCAAGGCGACGAUCUGUAGCGGGUCUGAGAGGAUGAUCCGCCAAACUGGGACUGAGACACGGCCCAGACUCCUACGGGAGGCAGCAGUGGGGAAUAUUGGACAAUGGGGGGAACCCUGAUCCAGCCAUGCCGCGUGUGUGAAGAAGGCCUUAUGGUUGUAAAGCACUUUAAGCGAGGAGGAGGCUCUUUUGGUUAAUACCCAGAAUGAGUGGACGUUACUCGCAGAAUAAGCACCGGCUAACUCUGUGCCAGCCGCCGCUGUAAUAC
rnacentral:rRNA from 1 species